rnacentral:sRNA from 1 species
UGCAAUAGUUAGGGAAACUCAAGGGUGGUCCGUUACCCCAGAAAGAAAGGGGGUGAGGUUUAUGAUGACUGUGUCUCAAACGAUCAUGCUGAUGAUAGAUUUUGCAAGUUUGGUGUUGUCAAUUAUUUCUUUUAGAGACAAAAAAUAACCCGCCCUUGAGCUUUGCAGUGCAAUAGGGUGAGUUAUUUCCCAAAAUGCAGAUCCCCUUGUUGGGAAUCUGCUAUUGUAUGACUGUUUGGUGUUCCAGCACCGAAC